rnacentral:rRNA from 1 species
AUUGAACGCUGGCGGCAGGCCUAACACAUGCAAGUCGAGCGGAGCGGCGGACGGGUGAGUAAUGCCUAGGACUCUGCCUGGUAGUGGGGGCUAACGUCCGGAAACGGGCGCUAAUACCGCAUACUAUCAGAUGAGCCUAGGUCGGAUUAGCUAGUUGGUGGGGUACAGGCCUACCAAGGCGACGAUCCGUAACUGGUCUGAGAGGAUGAUCAGUCACACUGGAACUGAGAAACGGUCCAGAGGCCAGGGGGAGGCAGCAUGGGGGAUGAUUGGACAAUUGGCGAAAGCCUGCGCCAGCCGUGCCGGGUGUGUGAAGAAGGUCUUCGGAUUUAAAAGCACUUUAAGUUGGGAGGCGUUACCAACAGAAUAAGCACCGGCUAACUUCGUGCCAGCAGCCGCGGUAAUUC